AGCCACCAUGGUGUAGUGGUUUGUACAUUGGACUAUGACUCUGGAGACCAGGGUUCGAAUCUCUGCUUAGCUA
rnacentral:tRNA from 1 species